GGUUAAGCGACUAAGCGUACACGGUGGAUGCCCUGGCAGUCAGAGGCGAUGAAGGACGUGCUAAUCUGCGAAAAGCGUCGGUAAGGUGAUAUGAACCGUUAUAACCGGCGAUGUCCGAAUGGGGAAACCCAGUGCAAUUCGUUGCACUAUCGUUAACUGAAUACAUAGGUUAACGAGGCGAACCGGGGGAACUGAAACAUCUAAGUACCCCGAGGAAAAGAAAUCAACCGAGAUUCCCCCAGUAGCGGCGAGCGAACGGGGAGCAGCCCAGAGUCUGAAUCAGCUUGUGUGUUAGUGGAACGGUCUGGAAAGUCCGACGGUACAGGGUGAUAGUCCCGUACACCAAAAUGCACAGGUUGUGAACUCGAAGAGUAGGGCGGGACACGUGGUAUCCUGUCUGAAUAUGGGGGGACCAUCCUCCAAGGCUAAAUACUCCUGACUGACCGAUAGUGAACCAGUACCGUGAGGGAAAGGCGAAAAGAACCCCGGCGAGGGGAGUGAAAAAGAACCUGAAACCGUGUACGUACAAGCAGUGGGAGCACCUUCGGGUGUGACUGCGUACCUUUUGUAUAAUGGGUCAGCGACUUAUAUUCUGUAGCAAGGUUAACCGUAUAGGGGAGCCGCAGGGAAACCGAGUCUUAACUGGGCGUUAAGUUGCAGGGUAUAGACCCGAAACCCGGUGAUCUAGCCAUGGGCAGGUUGAAGGUUGGGUAACACUAACUGGAGGACCGAACCGACUAAUGUUGAAAAAUUAGCGGAUGACUUGUGGCUGGGGGUGAAAGGCCAAUCAAACCGGGAGAUAGCUGGUUCUCCCCGAAAGCUAUUUAGGUAGCGCCUCGUGAACUCAUCUUCGGGGGUAGAGCACUGUUUCGGCUAGGGGGUCAUCCCGACUUACCAACCCGAUGCAAACUACGAAUACCGAAGAAUGUUAUCACGGGAGACACACGGCGGGUGCUAACGUCCGUCGUGAAGAGGGAAACAACCCAGACCGCCAGCUAAGGUCCCAAAGUCAUGGUUAAGUGGGAAACGAUGUGGGAAGGCACAGACAGCCAGGAUGUUGGCUUAGAAGCAGCCAUCAUUUAAAGAAAGCGUAAUAGCUCACUGGUCGAGUCGGCCUGCGCGGAAGAUGUAACGGGGCUAAACCAUGCACCGAAGCUGCGGCAGCGACACUAUGUGUUGUUGGGUAGGGGAGCGUUCUGUAAGCCUGCGAAGGUGUGCUGUGAGGCAUGCUGGAGGUAUCAGAAGUGCGAAUGCUGACAUAAGUAACGAUAAAGCGGGUGAAAAGCCCGCUCGCCGGAAGACCAAGGGUUCCUGUCCAACGUUAAUCGGGGCAGGGUGAGUCGACCCCUAAGGCGAGGCCGAAAGGCGUAGUCGAUGGGAAACAGGUUAAUAUUCCUGUACUUGGUGUUACUGCGAAGGGGGGACGGAGAAGGCUAUGUUAGCCGGGCGACGGUUGUCCCGGUUUAAGCAUGUAGGCUGGUUAUCCAGGCAAAUCCGGAUAAUCAAGGCUGAGGUGUGAUGACGAGGCACUACGGUGCUGAAGUAACAAAUGCCCUGCUUCCAGGAAAAGCCUCUAAGCAUCAGGUAACAUCAAAUCGUACCCCAAACCGACACAGGUGGUCAGGUAGAGAAUACCAAGGCGCUUGAGAGAACUCGGGUGAAGGAACUAGGCAAAAUGGUGCCGUAACUUCGGGAGAAGGCACGCUGGUGUGUAGGUGAAGUCCCUGCGGAUGGAGCUGAGACCAGUCGAAGAUACCAGCUGGCUGCAACUGUUUAUUAAAAACACAGCACUGUGCAAACACGAAAGUGGACGUAUACGGUGUGACGCCUGCCCGGUGCCGGAAGGUUAAUUGAUGGGGUUAUCCGUAAGGAGAAGCUCUUGAUCGAAGCCCCGGUAAACGGCGGCCGUAACUAUAACGGUCCUAAGGUAGCGAAAUUCCUUGUCGGGUAAGUUCCGACCUGCACGAAUGGCGUAAUGAUGGCCAGGCUGUCUCCACCCGAGACUCAGUGAAAUUGAACUCGCUGUGAAGAUGCAGUGUACCCGCGGCAAGACGGAAAGACCCCGUGAACCUUUACUAUAGCUUGACACUGAACAUUGAGCCUUGAUGUGUAGGAUAGGUGGGAGGCUUUGAAGCGUGGACGCCAGUCUGCGUGGAGCCAACCUUGAAAUACCACCCUUUAAUGUUUGAUGUUCUAACGUUGGCCCCUGACCGGGGUUGCGGACAGUGUCUGGUGGGUAGUUUGACUGGGGCGGUCUCCUCCCAAAGCGUAACGGAGGAGCACGAAGGUUAGCUAAUCCUGGUCGGACAUCAGGAGGUUAGUGCAAUGGCAUAAGCUAGCUUGACUGCGAGCGUGACGGCGCGAGCAGGUGCGAAAGCAGGUCAUAGUGAUCCGGUGGUUCUGAAUGGAAGGGCCAUCGCUCAACGGAUAAAAGGUACUCCGGGGAUAACAGGCUGAUACCGCCCAAGAGUUCAUAUCGACGGCGGUGUUUGGCACCUCGAUGUCGGCUCAUCACAUCCUGGGGCUGAAGUAGGUCCCAAGGGUAUGGCUGUUCGCCAUUUAAAGUGGUACGCGAGCUGGGUUUAGAACGUCGUGAGACAGUUCGGUCCCUAUCUGCCGUGGGCGCUGGAGAAUUGAGGGGGCUGCUCCUAGUACGAGAGGACCGGAGUGGACGCAUCACUGGUGUUCGGGUUGUCAUGCCAAUGGCACUGCCCGGUAGCUAAAUGCGGAAGAGAUAAGUGCUGAAAGCAUCUAAGCACGAAACUUGCCCCGAGAUGAGUUCUCCCUGAGACUAUAAGUCUCCUGAAGGAACGUUAAAGACGAUGACGUUGAUAGGCCGGGUGUGUAAGCGCAGCGAUGCGUUGAGCUAACCGGUACUAAUGAACCGUGAGGCUUAACCUU
rnacentral:rRNA from 1 species